CAGUAGCCGCGGUAAAACGAAGGGUGCAAGCGUUACUCGGAAUUACUGGGCGUAAAGCGUGCGUAGGUGGUGGUUUAAGUCCGUUGUGAAAGCCCUGGGCUCAACCUGGGAAUUGCAGUGGAUACUGGGUCACUAGAGUGUGGUAGAGGAUAGUGGAAUUUCCGGUGUAGCAGUGAAAUGCGUAGAGAUCGGAAGGAACAUCUGUGGCGAAGGCGACUAUCUGGGCCAACACUGACACUGAGGCACGAAAGCGUGGGGAGCAAACAGGAUUAGAUACCCCGGUAGUCCCUGUCUCUUAUAA
rnacentral:rRNA from 1 species